rnacentral:rRNA from 1 species
AUUGAACGCUGGCGGCAGGCCUAACACAUGCAAGUCGAACGAGUGGCAGACGGGUGAGUAAUGUCUGGGAACCUGCCCGAUGGAGGGGGAUAACUACUGGAAACGGUAGCUAAUACCGCAUACCCUCGGAUGUGCCCAGAUGGGAUUAGCUAGUAGGUGGGGUAAAGGAUCACCUAGGCGACGCUCCCUAGCUGGUCUGAGAGGAUGACCAGCCAAACUGGAACUGAGACACGGGCCAGACUCCUACGGGAGGCAGCAGUGGGGAAUAUUGCACAAUGGGGGCAAUCCUGAUGCAGCCAUGCCGCGUGUAUGAAGAAGGCCUUCGGGUUGUAAAGUACUUUCAGCGAGGAGGCGGUACUCGCAGAAGAAGCACCGGCUAACUCCGUGCCAGCAGCCGCGGUAAGAC